ACAGCUCUUCCUUAUGUUUUUUUUUCAUUGAGCGAUUUUUCGAUACGCACGAUGACAUGAACCUAAAAGUCUCUUUCUUUUUUUUCAGGGGCGUCCGUGAUGAAUGAAGCUACAAGCGGUAUUCAUCCUUACCCUUUGCCUCAGUAAGUCCAGUCCGUCUACGUCUCUUUCAUCAUCACAAGAACUUUCUUCGGCGAACCGGUAAGAGAUCUAUAAACCUUUGUUAAUUGUUUUACAUAUUCUUAUAAUUUUUAUAUCUCCAGAUUCGUUCCGUGAUUAGGACUGAACUAUUCUUUAUCUACAAUAGAGAGCUAGAAACAAUAAUUGAUUGUUUUAGGGUUUGGGAGUCUCCACUUCCAUGAAUCAGUGAAGACCGGGCUGAUAGAUAAAGUAAGCAGAGGAUUCCUCACGCUUUUUAUUAUCUUUCAGAGAAACUUCUCAGAAUUUCACCAGUCAAAUUCAUAGCGACGAGAUCCUACCAGCCAAAUUCAAACGUAGACCUUCGAGUUAUUCAUGCUUUUCAUUGUUCUAGAGUUAUUCGUGUUGCAAAACCGUGAAGAUCCUGUCAUAAAAAAAAUAAACGUGAAGAUUUCCAUAUCUGUAGUGAGUCACAACGCACAGUCAAUGACAGAGAGACGAAGAAAAACUGGUACUUGCAAAUGCAAUAUAGGAAGCCGAGCAUAUAGGAAGUUCGUUGAAGUUAGACAUGAGACAAAAUUACCAAAUAAGUAUAAGCAGAAGGAUGAGAAAAUAAAGGCAGUAAAGAAGGGAAAAGAUCACAAUCAAAGAACCAUCAAAAAAAUAAUAAGAGAGGAAGGACAAACAAAACAGCCACCGUGGUUGAGAAACACAACGUGUAAGAGAAUGUUAGGCUAGAAGAGUUUCAAUUUGAUAAAUAGAGUUAAGUGUAUACUUGUAGUUAAAAUCUUUUAUUGGAAAUGUGCUCCAACCAUGAUAAUUUAUUUGUGUUUUUCCAUCUCAAUCGUAAACUGUUUAAUAGUUAACUUAACAGUCUAAGAUAAUAAUGGAAGUAUGUUUCUCCUCUAAUAGACAAAUAAUAUUGCAAAGUUAUAUAUUUUCUACACAAUGACAAUGACAAAUAUAUAUAUGCAUAUGUGUAAUGGCAGUAGUGCACAUAAUCUAUCCAAAGUAAUUUUAUGUCGUAUCUAAACAUGAAUCGUUCAUAAUAAAAUGUCCUACAUGUUUCACAAUUUUAUAGAAAAUACUUAUUGACAAAACAAAAAAUACCAAGCAAUAUCAUAUCAAAACAAAUAAAUAAUAUAAUAUAUCACAAAAUAAAAGUACUUUAUUUUAACCUUUAAUAUAAUCCAUCUAUUUCAAAAUUAUCAAUGUUUUAGAAAACUUUUUUUAAAAAGACAUUUUUUUUUACAUUUUCAAUAUAUUUUUAUUAGGUAUAACUGUAAAUUUAAGGCUUUAGAUUAAAAAAAUUAUGAUUAUUGAAUUUUGAUUGGUUAAAAAUUAUGAAAAAUAGUUAAUCAGAAAAAUAUUACAUUUACAAUCAAAUUUAAGAUGAAUUUUAAAAUGUUUGAAAAUUUUAAAACAUACGUUUUUUUAAACAUUAAUUUUAUAAACAGAAAAACUGCGCGUAGCGCGGUAAAAUCUCUAGUAACCGCUAAUAAAAGAAAAUGAAGACAAAACACAGCUUUUGCAUAAAGUUUUUUUAAUAUUUUGAAAAUAUUGUAAUGGGUUAGUAAUCAGUUUACAAGUGAUCUAUACUAUUAAUGCAGAAUCCCUCGUAAGAUUAUGUACUUGAUUUUUUUACAAAAAUUACAAUACAAUGCCAUUGUCAUUUAAUUUUUAAUUAGAAAUUUAUUAAUGACCAUAAUUAUUUACACCCUACUUCUUUAUAUGACCAAUAUAUUAUGAAACAUUUAGUACUGUUCAGAGUAUUUAGGCGCAUCUGCACAAAAUACAUAAUACAAAAUUUAUAAUGUCGAGCAAUAUAUAUUGUAUGUGACAUCUCUAUGGCUUUUAUAGUUUAUCGGAUUACACAUGCAUUUUUUUUUUUUUGCAAUUUACUAGCUUUACAAUACUAUUCAUAUACUAUAAUUAUCACUAGAUCUAAAGGAUGACAAAAACAAAAAU